UGUAGUGGCCAUCACAAAGCCCUGACCUCAAUCCUAUACACAAUUUGUGGGCAGAACUGAAAAAGCAUGUGCGAGCAAGGAGGCCUACAAACCUGACUCAGUUACACCAGCUCUGUCAGGAGCAAUGGGUCAAAAUUCACCCAACUUAUUGUGGGAAUCUUGUGGAAGGCUACCUGAAACGUUUGACCCAAGUUAAACAAUUUAAAGGCAAUGCUACCAAAUACUAAUUGAGUGUAUGUAAACUUCUGACCCACUGGGAAUGUGAUGAAAUAAAUAAAAGCUGAAAUAAAUCCUAUUAUUCUGACAUUUCACAUUUUUUUAAAUAACGUGAUGAUCCUAACUGACCUAAGACAGGGAAUUUCUACUAUGAUUAAAUGUCAGGAAUUGUGAAAAGCUGAGUUUAAAUGUAUUUGGCUAAGGUGUAUGUGAACUUGCAACUUCAACUGUAUCUACCUGGGUGAUUGAGAGAUGAACUGAGAUCCACACUACAGUUGGUGGUUAUAAUGCACCUUAAAGUUUGUUGCCAACUGCCAUAUAAAGUCCACAGAAGAAGAAGACUGAAGGAGGAGAGAUUACUAGAAACUAACUCAAUUUCACCUUUUAGCUGUGGAUUAACUGUUGGAGUAGAAAACGCACGAUUUUGUGUGACUCAAUAUAGGUCAAAAUUCUACACAGACACAGGAAAAAAGGAACUUGUGCAUUUCAGCUGGAGGAAAAAUGUGAUAAGACCUACGUAGACUAUAGCCGGGUGAGUACGCGCAAGAGAGCUUUCUAUUGUUCGUCUUCAGGCCAUCUUAUUUGUAUCAUUGAGGAAUAUGACCAAUGUAGGCCUAAAUCAUUAAUGGCCCAGUGCAGUCAUAACCAUGAUUUACCUGUGUUUUAGUUGAUUUAUAUACAUUUAAACUCAGUUUUUCACAAUUCCAUUUUAAUCCUAGUAAAAAUUCCCUGUCUUAGGUCAGUUAGGAUCACCACUUUAUUUUAAGAAUGUGAAAUGUCAGAAUAAUAGUAGAGAGAAUGAUUUAUUUCUUCUUUUAUUUCUUUCAUCACAUUCCCAGUGGGUCAGAAGUUUACACACACCCAAUUAGUAUUUGGUUCACUGCCUUUAAAUUGUUUAAUUUGGGUCAAACGUUUCGGGUAGCCUUUCACAAUAAGUUGGGGGAAUUUUGGCCCAUUCCUCCUGACAGAGCUGGUGUAACUGAGUCAGGUUUGUAGGCCUCCUUGCUCGCACAUGUUUUUUCAGUUCUGCCCACAAAUUUUCUACAGGUUUGAGGUCAGGGCUUUGUGAUGGCCACUCCAAUACCUUGACUUUGUUGUCCUUCAGCCAUUUUGCCACAACUUUGGGAGUAUGCUUGGGGUCAUUGUCCAUUUGGAAGACCCAUUUGCAACCAAGCUUUAACUUCCUGACUGAUGUCUUGAGAUGUUGCU
rnacentral:lncRNA from 1 species